ACGUUGAAAAUCCGGUUCCCGUGUGAUACACCGAAAUUAAGCAACGACGUGCCUGAUCAGUACUUAGAUGGGUGACCGCUUGGGAAUACCAGUUCCUGUA